ACGGACGUGGGCGACUACCAGAUCAAACUGCGCAACAUGCUUCGCUUCCUGGAAGAGGGCGACAAGGUCAAGGUCACCAUCCGUUUCCGCGGCCGCGAGAUGUCGCAUCAGGACCUGGGCCAGAACCUGGCCAAGAAGAUCCAGGAAGACGUCGGCGAGAACGGCCAGAUCGAGUCGUUUCCCCGGCUCGAAGGGCGCCAGAUGGUCAUGAUGAUCGGCCCCAAGAAGAAAUAAGCCGCCACGACAGCUUCGGCUGUCGUAUUACUGGCAUCCGGGGUUCGAACUCCGUAUAAUCGCCGGUUCGACCCGCA
rnacentral:misc_RNA from 1 species